UUGUAGCUGACGAGUCCCAAAUAAGAUGAAACGCGCGUCCUGGAU
rfam:Schistosoma mansoni strain Puerto Rico chromosome 4, complete genome